UCCCCCGUGCUCUCUCAGUCUCUCUCUUCUGCAACUCUCUCUUUCUCUCUUCUGCAACCUCCUCUUUCACCACCUCUAGACCACCAAAUGGCGAGCUGCGAGCAUCGAUAGACUCGUCUCUUCCUCCUUAUCACGCAUGUGGGAGUUGUUUACGACGAUUUGGCCGGAAAUGUGGAGAUCGAAGCCAACAUUUUUACUGUAGCAAAUUAGUCAACGCCGAUUUCCGGCCACCUCCAGUCAUAAACCCAGGUCCAUUAGAAGCGCCUUAAGCCGCUCUUCAUGCUCGCCAAGUCUCAUAACCCAGAUCGAAGCAUGGAGGAAGAAAGCAUAAUUGGAAAAUUUCACUGUACAUCGGAGUGCUUAAUUGUUCGGCUACUUCAAGGUGAUUGACGGUUUGAGUUGGUGGACGAUUGUGGAUCGUAUUUUGAGCUGAAUUGAAGACGCAGCGGGAUUAUCGAGCGGGUAAUCCUACAGGACAGGAGAACCAGGACGGUGACCGUGCGGUUAGAGCAAUUGUUAGAGUUUUACAGCAAUUGUAAGUUGUGAGGUGUGUUAUGCUCAUUUAGAGCUUUACAAUAUUGCUUGUGAGAGUGAAUUGUAAUAAUGAACUCGAGGUUUCGAGAUUUGGAGUUUGUGUACCUUGUGGUGAGAUUAUAUUGAGAAAAAAAUUCAGAACGUUUAUUUGAUUAAGUGGUUUAAUUCAUGUUUCGGAUUUGAAUUUAUUAUUCAAAAUUCGGGGCGUGACAUCAAC